CGGCGUGCUUAACACAUGCAAGUCGAACGAUGAAGCCUAGCUUGCUGGGUGGAUUAGUGGCGAACGGGUGAGUAACACGUGAGUAACCUGCCCCUACUCUGGGAUAACCUCGGGAAAUCGGGGCUAAUACCGGAUAUGACUUCAUGCCGCAUGGUGUGGGGUGGAAAGUUUUUCGGUGGGGGAUGGACUCGCGGCCUAUCAGUUUGUUGGUGAGGUAAUGGCUCACCAAGGCGAUGACGGGUAGCCGGCCUGAGAGGGCGACCGGCCACACUGGGACUGAGACACGGCCCAGACUCCUACGGGAGGCAGCAGUGGGGAAUAUUGCACAAUGGGCGCAAGCCUGAUGCAGCGACGCCGCGUGAGGGAUGACGGCCUUCGGGUUGUAAACCUCUUUCAGUAGGGAAGAAGCGAAAGUGACGGUACCUGCAGAAGAAGCGCCGGCUAACUACGUGCCAGCAGCCGCGGUAAUACGUAGGGCGCAAGCGUUGUCCGGAAUUAUUGGGCGUAAAGAGCUUGUAGGUGGCUUGUCGCGUCUGCCGUGAAAAUCCAGGGCUUAACUCUGGACGUGCGGUGGGUACGGGCAGGCUAGAGUGUGGUAGGGGAGACUGGAAUUCCUGGUGUAGCGGUGAAAUGCGCAGAUAUCAGGAGGAACACCGAUGGCGAAGGCAGGUCUCUGGGCCAUUACUGACGCUGAGAAGCGAAAGCAUGGGGAGCGAACAGGAUUAGAUACCCUGGUAGUCCAUGCCGUAAACGUUGGGCACUAGGUGUGGGGACCAUUCCACGGUUUCCGCGCCGUAGCU
rnacentral:rRNA from 1 species